rnacentral:lncRNA from 1 species
UUAUAAACAAACCAAAUUGAAGUACUAGAAACAAUAAGAGUAUCUGUUCCUGUGUAUGCCCAAGUUUCUGUUUUCCAAGAAGCAUAUUAAUUAAAUGAACAAAACUGUGUCCAAGAAAUACUCUAUUGCAUAGAGGAUUUAAUGAAAACAAAAUUGGUGAUGCUGUAAUCACAAAGUUCCAUGCAGGAAUCAAUGGUUAUUGCUAAAAUAUGUUAUUGGUGUAUUGUCAAUUUUAUUUACUUAUAUAUUACGUUAUUUAAUCUCAAUAAUUUUAGGCUGGAAAUAAUAUACACUUUGGAACAAUUGAAGUAAAUAAAUGAAUUAAUAUAAUACAUACAUCAAGAAGUAAUGUAUAAUUUCGGAAAAAGCUGUAUUAAUCAC